UACGUAGGUGGCGAGCGUUGUCCGGAUUUACUGGGCGUAAAGGGAGCGUAGGCGGAUUUUUAAGUGAGAUGUGAAAUACUCGGGCUCAACUUGAGUGCUGCAUUUCAAACUGGAAGUCUAGAGUGCAGGAGAGGAGAAUGGAAUUCCUAGUGUAGCGGUGAAAUGCGUAGAGAUUAGGAAGAACACCAGUGGCGAAGGCGGCUUCCUGGUCUGCAACUGACACUGAGGCGCGAAAGCGUGGGGAGCAAACAGG
rnacentral:rRNA from 1 species